rnacentral:rRNA from 1 species
UACGUAGGGUGCGAGCGUUUAAUCGGAAUCACUGGGCGUAAAGGGCGCGUAGGUGGUGGCUUAAGCGUGCGGUGAAAGCUCGGGGCUCAACCCCGAGUCGGCCGUGCGAACUGGGCUCACUGGAGCAUAGUAGAGGCAGGUGGAAUUCCGGGUGUAGCGGUGGAAUGCGUAGAGAUCCGGAAGAACACCGGUGGCGAAGGCGGCCUGCUGGGCUAUGGGCUGACACUGAGGCGCGACAGCGUGGGGGAGCAAACAGG